GACGAACGCUGGCGGCGUGCCUAAUACAUGCAAGUAGAACGCUGAAGGAGGAGCUUGCUUCUCUGGAUGAGUUGCGAACGGGUGAGUAACGCGUAGGUAACCUGCCUGGUAGCGGGGGAUAACUAUUGGAAACGAUAGCUAAUACCGCAUAAGAGUAGAUGUUGCAUGACAUUUGCUUAAAAGGUGCAAUUGCAUCACUACCAGAUGGACCUGCGUUGUAAUAGCUAGUUGGUGGGGGAACGGCUCAACAAGGGGACGAUACAUAGCCGACCUGGGAGGGUGAUCGGCCACACUGGGAAUGAGACACGGCCCAGACUUCUACGGGAGGGAGCAGUAGGGAAUCCUCGGCAAUGGACGGAAGUCUGACCGGGCAAAGCCGCGGGAGUGAAGGAGGUUGUCGGAUCGUAAAGCUCUGUUGUAAGAGAAGAACGAGUGUGAGAGUGGAAAGUUCACACUGUGACGGUAUCUUACCAGAAAGGGACGGCUAACUACGUG
rnacentral:rRNA from 1 species